rnacentral:lncRNA from 1 species
AGAGAAGUUCUAUAUGUACUUGGAAGAAAGCAGGAAAACUGAACACUAGACUAUUUGUCAAAAAUACGAAUGUACAAUUUCUUCUGGCUGUCAUUUCUCUGUUACCCAUCCUCUCCAUGCCCAACCACACCAUAGCUAUUACUAGGCCAUUAUAAAUUCAUAAACUCAACAUAACACGGAUGCCCAGCUUUCCGGAACAUCAAGGGUGCAUGCAAAUCUGAAAAAUGGAAACAGCAAAUGGCUCAUCUCUCUCUGAAAGGGAAAAUUAAAUGCCAACAUUCUGACUGAUGAUGGUUUCCAUAGCGUUUUGGGUUUGUCGUUUUUGUUUUAAACUUAAGUUCCUUUUAAAACUUGCUAUCACUGACAAGCACAGAUUAGGUGGAAAUUUUUUUUUUUUUUUUUUUUUUUUUUGCUUUUAAACAAACUAAAGAUGGUAGAGAUUAAGCAACUGGCAGUUCUAGUUUAAAAAAAAAAAUUCAAGUUCCCUUUUCAAACAAAGACGUGCUUAUCUGCUUAGUAACUAUAGCGCUCAUCAAGGUAAUCACGCAUCAUUCAAAAUGAUCACAAACCCGUAUUUUUCCAUUGCCGCUCAUCUAGGGGUUUUUGUAUGAAAGAUGUACACCUCAACAAGGCUUGCAAUGUUCCAUGAAAGCAGCUCCUGGGUGGGUUUUUUUUCCUCCCCCUCACAAAAAUGGAUAAGGCAUUUUCCUAAGCUUUUGCCGAAGUGCACAAGCCCAAUUCAGGAGACUGUUUUGCUGUAGGUUUUCCUUGAAGUCUUCACUUCACAGCUCUUACAGUAUUAUUCUUGGAUGGAGAUAUAUAGCAUGCACCUAAUAAGACCAGAGCUAAGCACGAUUUAGUCAUAUUUUAAAUAUGAUAUUAAAUACACCUCCAGAUGGAGUCUUUGUAAAGAUUCUCAAUUCCCCAGGAGUUAAAGAAUAACAUUCUAGAGAUUCUGUAAAGUGGAAACAAGGAACUGAAUGGUAUUAACAAACAAACCAGAAAGACCAGGAUCACCAUGAUUUUACAAAGCGGUGUCCAUACCCUAUUUCUUCCCCAGCUUCAAACAGAACCAAAUUUCAGGGUAUGAAUUCACAGUCUUUGAAUAAAUCGGAGACUCUGGUACAUGUUAUAAAACUGCAUACUGUGCCAAAACCCACAGUGGGAAAAAAGAAGAAGAACCUGGACAUUUGAACUUACACCUUGGGAAUUUGCUAAAGAAAGGUUUUAAUAACACAUUUUGCAAACCAAGUACAAGCAAAGAUAAGUUUUCUAGAAUUUGAGCAAAGUCAUAUAUAGAGAAAACUAGGACAAGAUUUGGUGGGUGGGCAUUUUUUAAUAGUCCUCUGGUCCCAAUUCUUUUAAUUGGGAUGGUAGAGCUGCAGAAAGGGGCUGAAGUCCUUGCUCCGUGCUCUGUCACUAAAUAGCUACCUGAGCUUGGACGUGGGACUAACAUCUCUCUUGGUCUCAGCAGUCACAUGGGGAGAGAAGGAGCGCUCAUGAGAAAAAGACACUGGACUGAAAGAUGCUGAAGACCACGCUAACUCUAAUAAAGUUACUGUCCUGAGCUGUCUUACAAAUUUUUCUCCAGAACACCUGUUAGAUAAUUAGAUAAUCUUACAGACAUGCUCAUCACCUACUUGCAGAUAGAGCUGAACUUUCUGAAGGAAAAGUUUUAAAACUACAACCUAAUACCAUAGAUGCUUUGCCACAUCAUAGUCACUGGACAAAACGUCUGCUCACAAAUGAUGCAGCCACAUGGACAAACAGCACCUGCCAUCCCAUCUCUAAGGCUCUGGAAGGUUGUUUGCCGCGGGGCCAUGAUAAUCCUCUCCCUCCACGGAUGACCUUGAGAAACCUCCUCCUUCACUGACUGCGUUUAGCCCAAUGACCUGCUUUGACUAAAAGAAUGCAGCGGAAAUGACACGGCGAGACUUUCAAGCCUAAGCAGUAAAAAGUUUGCAGUUUCCGCUUAUUGUCUUCUUGGGACAUUGCUCCCAGGUGGACAAGUCUGAGGCCUUCCUCCUGGAGUCUGCGGACUCCCGCCAGCAUAAUGUCCAGCUCAUAGCCAGUGUCCAUGAAAUGGCACUUCUCCCAUAGAGGGACAUAGCUUGGACCAACUGGAAGAAGCAAGGAACAAAAAGAGAAUAAGAGAGGGCAUUCCCAUUGUGGCUCAACAGUAACGAACCCAACUAGUAUCCACAAGGACAAGGGUUCGAUCCCUGGCCUCACUCAGUGGUCAAGAAUCUGGCAUUGCCAUGAGCGGAGGUGGUCACAGAUGGCUCAAUUCCUGAGUUGCUAUAGCUGUGGUAUAAGCAGGGAACUGCAGCUCUGAUUCGAUCCCUAGCCUGGGAACUUCUAUAUGCCGCAGGUGUGGCCCUAAACAGACCAAAAAAAAAUUAAAAAGAGAACGAGAGAGGACACACCAGCAGGAUGGAAGGAAGCUCUAAGGUGUUCACUGGCUCUCCCCUGCCCACUGAUCUCUCCAGAGUAGACCCAACACAGCCCCAAGCCUCACUUGAAGCUGGACUGUACCCACUACAGCUGAGGAAAUUGUGCCGAGACAAAGGGGUUUCACCCCAGACCAAAGCAGCCAUCAGAUCAAUAGUAAUUGGAAAUUAUAGGCAUUAUCCUCUCCCAAUUACGAAAAUUGCAAAGCAGCUCUUUGGAGAUCUUAUCUCAGCAGGGAUAAGGCCAGUUAAAUGCUGGCUGGUUUUUAGAAAUUGCACAUUAAAUCAGAGACCUUAUCUUGACAUGGGCUACUCCAACUAAACUCCCUCUUAGCUGGCUAACAUUUGUGUUGAUCCAUGAUUCAUGAGCCCCAUGCUGUAAGCAUGGCAGGCCUGGAUCAACCGAGUGACAACUAUGAAAGGCAAGUAAAUCAUUUCUUUCCUCUGUGCGGAAGGUGAGCAUAAAUCACCAUCUACAAGAAGUAGCCACUGAGGCCUGUUUUCAGCGUUUUCCGUAACUAUAACAACUGCAAAUACCACUUUCUGAGACACUGUCUACCACUUUCUCAGACAGCUCCCUCUAUGUAUUCCCAUCUUUAGAAACACCCUCCUUUCAUCUUCAUAGAGACUUCCGUGGAGAUGGUAUUUCCAUUUGGUAGCUAAGCAAGUUGGUUCAGCAAGGUUGCAGGGGGCUGGACCCCAGGUCUGAAUGACUCCAAAGUCAAGAUCCUUUUUUUUUUUUUUUAAUGGCCACACCUGCAGCAUAUAAAAAUUCCCAGGCCAGGGAUAAAUCCAGAACUGCAGCUGCGGACCUACACCACCGCUUACAACAACAGCAGAUCCUUAACCCACUGUGCGAGGCCAGGGAUCAAACCCAAAUCCUCAGAGUCAGCAUUGGGUCCUUAAUCCACUGAGCCACGAUGGGAACUUCCCAAACUCAGGGUUCUUAAACAAUAUGGCCAGCCUCUUCUUGACAUCUUGAAAGAAAACUCAAAAGUGUAAAGACACUUCUGAAGUCCUACCUGUCCUGAAGGAAGAUCAUGUUGGUUUUUACUCACAUGUUAAAUAGUUUGGAUAAUGGCAUAAGGAUAAACAGAAACUAGAAUUGAUAAACUUGCAUAACACCUGUAUUUGAAAAUUAAAAAAAAAAAAGAAUCCCUUUUUAGGUGGCAGAAUGUGUUACAAAAACACAUUAUUCCAAGUAUACAUGCCUGAUAAACAACAGACACUGCUUUAAAAAAAUUUUUGAAAAAUAAUCUCUUUCUCUUUUUUGGGGGGGGUGGGGGGGGUGGGUGCAGGUACAGCAUAUGGAAGUUCCCAGGCUAGGGGUUGAAUGGGAGCUACAGCUGCUGGCCUACACCACAUCUCCCAGCAACGCUAGAUCCUUAACCCACUGAGUGAGGCCAGGGAUCGAACCCACAUCCUCAUGGAUAUUAGUAGGGCUCGUUACCACUGAGCCACGACAGGAACUCUGAAAAAUAAUCUCUAAUGGCAAAUAUUUUUGAUAUUCAACAGACAUGAGAUUUGUUUCCAAAUAUCCUAGAAACUGUUUGCAUUAUUACUAUUACCGUUAUUGUUUUGCUUUUGUUAUUUGUUCACUCGAAGCCUAAACUGCUGCCAUGUAAACAAGGCCAAGCCAGCCUGCUGGGAAGGACUUCCCCAUGGAUGCUCCCCACACACUGCAUCCCGCUCAUGCCAAGCAUCCACUAAAGGGCAGUUCUCACUUAGAGAACCAGGGCCUGGACAAGCUGGAAGAAGCAAACGGUGCGAUGUAAUAAGAGAGAAUGAGAAAGGACACGCUAGCAGGAUGGAAAUAAGCCACUUAUCGAGAUCUUCCCACUUACCCACGACUUGUCUCUGUCAGGAUUUUGUAGCUGGGGCACACUUCCCAGGAGUAGCACUUCACACAAAGCGAGGCAAC